rnacentral:lncRNA from 1 species
GUGGGGUCACAUACAUUAGAGGUUCCUAUCUGAUCUGAUGGCUGAUGAAGAGUCUUAAAGUUUGUGGACUAUGAGUCCUACAUGUCUGAAACUCUAUGAUCGAGAAUUAGGAUUCUCUGAUCAUGAGUCCCACACAUUUUGGGUACCGGGGUCAAGAGUCCCACUGGUUUGGGACUCUUCGAUCAAGGUUUCAUAUCGAUGGACUUUGAUAUCCGAUUGCCCAUCGAAUUUGAACUCAGUAUUUAUGAGAGGUUUAAUUAGUAAUUUGAUCACUAAUUAACUCAAUUCGAUUGAGUAAAUAUUUUUGGAUCAAGUCCAAUUGAAUUAGAUUCAGUUGGAUUUGACCCGAUUAGGUUAAGAGUUGACCUAAUCGUCGAGAUGGUUUGGUCCC